CCGCCUCCGACCGCCCAGGAGACAGGCGUCUCCUCGCCCGUUCCGGAACACGGCCACCUGGAGCUCGCGUUUUAGCCGCAGCACAGCCUCAGUGCGGUCGCCGGUCGAGAGAGGGAGACUUCGCCACAGCGAUCUUUUGAAGACCCGCAGGGGCGAUACGUUCGAGACCGACGAGGCCGCUGCGCGGGCCGUGAGAGCAUAGACGCCGCGGCGCACUUGCCGAAUCAGUGUGCCGUCUGUACACUCCCGAAGAAAGCGAGAAAGGUUCGUACGAAACGACGGACUGUCCGUCUGGUGAAGAUGCUCACAGAGAUAGUCUCCGAUGUCCUUAAUUGUCGCCCCACACCCCACAAUCUCCGACCCCAAACCACCAGCCUCGCCAUCAGGACACCCGUCGCCUUUCUCGUGCGUCUUAUGCCCCGUCAACCACCGUUCCUUCUCCGUUCCAACCUGGAAGUCAGACACAGCGGCGCGCGCUGCUCCGCUAGAACGACUCGUACCCCCUCCUGCCGCGUUCCUUUCUCGUUUCAAGUCAUCUCGCCUGUCUGACGUGGGCAAGCGUGGAUCGCCGCUUUCAGCAUUCCUUGGCGGCCGCCUACGAGGAUGCGCUGCUUCCGGUUUCUGUCUGUUGGCCGCCGAAGCUUUCCUUCUUCCCCUCCCUAGGCCUGGCUCUCUUUCGCCCUCCUCCCUUUUCCCCACGCACCUGCGCUGCGCGUCGCUCGGGUCUCUCUGGGAAGCACGGCAACGCACUCCUCUCGCCGACCCCGCGUCGCUUCUGUGCCUGUCUCUGGCUGCGAGGCUCUGCUCCGUGGCUUCCGCUUCGACUCCGCCCUCUCCGGGCGCGCCCCGCGCAUCCGAGGAGACACUUUCCGGCCUCGAGCAGCGACGUCCCGCCCGCUUGGGGGAAGAAUUCAGAGCCGCAAAGCGUCUGCUGCGACUCCGCCGAGCCCUCUUCUGGCUGCUCAAAGCCAGCAGUGCGAGACGGGCGAGAUGAAGGAGUAGAAGGCCCCCUCCAGAGGCGGGCAGAGAAGAGGAAGGUGGAGAAACCGAAGAGGACCGAGGCGUGGUGCUUGCGCGCGUAGCGGAGCGAGACGGGGUGACGGAGGCACGGAGGGCGACUAGCCGUUUGCGGCACGAAGGAGGAUAACUGGGAAGGCGUUCGCGCUUCGCAGUUCGACGUCCUGGCGGCGUUUGUGAAUCUGCGCGGACCUGUCGAGGAGCGUGAGGACGUGGCUCCACCCUUUCUUCGUACGGUGUUGCCUCGUCCAACCUCUCACCGCCUACGGCACCUCCGUCAGAGACGGAUCGGCAAGCGCUUUUCGUGUCGUCCCUUUCUUGAAGGCCCCGGCGAACUUGGGAACUGACGCAGGCGCGAGAAGCAACUGGAGGAGAGAGUGACGACGGGCAUGUUGCAGGCGGUAGGCUUGACGCGUGAGAUGCAAACGAGUUAGCAAGCUGAGAGUACGACGGAGAGCAACGACCGGAGACAGCUGGAGCAUGGCGGGCCAUCAUUGGAGACGAGAAAACUACCGCAGGCUGAUCCCAACGGGAGUCUGACUGACUCGAAGCGUCGGCCGCGACAGUUUUACGUACGCUUUGGCUCCUACAGGAAGGGUGUGAUGGGAGAGUCUCUCGGCUCUCUUUUCUCGAGGUUUCUGCGCCCUCCGGAUCUCGAUAGAAUGAGGACGACGAUAGGGCGGAGCGGCACGUCGACUGAGAAGAUGAAUGUGCGCGAGAGCAAUCACCGAGAGAAAAGACCGGAUGCGAAAAAGGAGACGCAGGUGAGUCAACACACGAGGAGACAUCGAAAGGCAACGUGCGUGGAGUUCGUCUCUUAAGACGCCGCAACUGACUGUUCGGCACCGAGUUUUCGUCUACGGCGAAGCGAACUAGUCGCUCGAGAAGGUUGCCGUUCCCACGAUGAAGAGGGAGACGAUGAGGCGGAUGAACACACAGACGAUGGCAAGAAACAACACCGACGUUCUGUGCACUGCUGGCCAUGUUUCGAUCUCUCCCGCUUGCAUGCUGACGCAUUUUUGGGAGGGGGCAAGCUCCAC
rnacentral:lncRNA from 1 species